rnacentral:rRNA from 1 species
AGAGUUUGAUUCUGGCUCAGGAUGAACGCUAGCUACAGGCUUAACACAUGCAAGUCGAGGGGCAGCAUUGGAGUAGCAAUACUCAGAUGGCGACCGGCGCACGGGUGAGUAACACGUAUCCAACCUGCCGCUUACUCGGGGAUAGCCUUUCGAAAGAAAGAUUAAUACCCGAUGGUAUAAAGAGUUCGCAUGUUCUCUUUAUUAAAGAAUUUCGGUAAGCGAUGGGGAUGCGUUCCAUUAGAUUGUUGGCGGGGUAACGGCCCACCAAGUCUACGAUGGAUAGGGGUUCUGAGAGGAAGGUCCCCCACAUUGGAACUGAGACACGGUCCAAACUCCUACGGGAGGCAGCAGUGAGGAAUAUUGGUCAAUGGACGAGAGUCUGAACCAGCCAAGUAGCGUGAAGGAUGACUGCCCUAUGGGUUGUAAACUUCUUUUAUAGUAGAAUAAAGUGAUCCACGUGUGGAUUUUUGUAUGUAUACUAUGAAUAAGGAUCGGCUAACUCCGUGCCAGCAGCGGC